UACAGAGGGUGCGAGCGUUGUUCGGAAUUAUUGGGCGUAAAGCGCUUGUAGGUGGCUUGUUAAGUUCCGUGUGAAAUCCCCAGGCUUAACCUGGGAAGUGCGCGGAAAACUGGCGAGCUUGAGUGCCGGAGAGGGUCGCGGAAUUCCCGGUGUAGAGGUGAAAUUCGUAGAUAUCGGGAGGAACACCAGUGGCGAAGGCGGCGACCUGGACGGACACUGACGCUGAGACGCGAAAGCGUGGGGAGCAAACAGG
rnacentral:rRNA from 1 species